rnacentral:rRNA from 1 species
GACGAACGCUGGCGGCGUGCUUAACACAUGCAAGUCGAACGGAAAGGCCCUGCUUUUGUGGGGUGCUCGAGUGGCGAACGGGUGAGUAACACGUGAGUAACCUGCCCUUGACUUUGGGAUAACUUCAGGAAACUGGGGCUAAUACCGGAUAGGAGCUCCUGCUGCAUGGUGGGGGUUGGAAAGUUUCGGCGGUUGGGGAUGGACUCGCGGCUUAUCAGCUUGUUGGUGGGGUAGUGGCUUACCAAGGCUUUGACGGGUAGCCGGCCUGAGAGGGUGACCGGCCACAUGGGGACUGAGAGACGGCCCAGACUCCUACGGGAGGCAGCAGUGGGGAAUAUUGCACAAUGGGCGGAAGCCUGAUGCAGCGACGCCGCGUGCGGGAUGACGGCCUUCGGGUUGUAAACCGCUUUCGCCUGUGACGAAGCGUGAGUGACGGUAAUGGGUAAAGAAGCACCGGCUAACUACGUG